AUUGAACGCUGGCGGCAUGCCUAACACAUGCAAGUCGAACGGCAGCGCGGGCUUCGGCCUGGCGGCGAGUGGCGGACGGGUGAGGAAUACAUAGGAAUCUGCCCAGUCGUGGGGGAUAACCCGGGGAAACCCGGACUAAUACCGCAUACGACGGCGACGUGAAAGCAGGGGACCUUCGGGCCUUGCGCGAUUGGAUGAGCCUAUGUCGGAUUAGCUAGUUGGCGGGGUAAAGGCCCACCAAGGCGACGAUCCGUAGCUGGUCUGAGAGGAUGAUCAGCCACACUGGGACUGAGACACGGCCCAGACUCCUACGGGAGGCAGCAGUGGGGAAUAUUGGACAAUGGGCGCAAGCCUGAUCCAGCAAUGCCGCGUGGGUGAAGAAGGCCUUCGGGGUGUAAACUCCUUUUCUCAGGGAAAAAGGAUGAUGGUACCUGAGGAAUAAGCCCCGGCUAACUACGUG
rnacentral:rRNA from 1 species